UGCAGGUGUAGCUUAGUGGUAGAGUGUUUGCCUAGCAUGCAAAAAGCCCUGGGUUCAAUUCCCAGCACUGAGUAA